AGUGAACGCUGGCGGCAGGCCUAACACAUGCAAGUCGAGCGGCAGCGCGGGGGCAACCCUGGCGGCGAGCGGCGGACGGGUGAGGAAUUCGUCGGAAUCUGCCUUUUUGUGGGGGAUAACGUAGGGAAACUUACGCUAAUACCGCAUACGUCCUACGGGAGAAAGUGGGGGACCGCAAGGCCUCACGCAGAAAGAUGAGCCGACGACCGAUUAGCUAGUUGGUGGGGUAAAGGCCCACCAAGGCGACGAUCGGUAGCUGGUCUGAGAGGAUGAUCAGCCACAUGGGAACGUAGACACGGCCAAGAGGCCUACGGGAGGCAGCAGUGGGGAAUAUGAGACAAUGGGCGCAAGCCUGAUCCAGCCAUGCCGCGUGUGUGAAGAAGGCCUUCGGGUUGGAAAGCACUUUUGUCCGGAAAGAAAUCCCUGGAGCUAAUACCUUCGGGGGAUGACGGUACCGGAAGAAUAAGCACCGGCUAACUUCGUG
rnacentral:rRNA from 1 species